rnacentral:rRNA from 1 species
ACAGAGGGUGCAAGCGUUAAUCGGAGUUACUGGGCGUAAAGGGCGCGUAGGCGGUGAGAUGGGUGUGGUGUGAAAGCCCCGGGCUUAACCUGGGAAGUGCAUCGCAAACUAUCUGACUAGAGUAUAUGAGAGGGUGGCGGAAUUUCCGGUGUAGCGGUGAAAUGCGUAGAGAUCGGAAGGAACGUCGAUGGCGAAGGCAGCCACCUGGCAUAAUACUGACGCUGAGGCGCGAAAGCGUGGGGAGCGAACAGGA